GAUUGGCUAGAACUCUGUGGAUUCCAGGCUUCCUUGACAGUAACUGGCUUAGGAGUAGGCAUAUGACCCAUUCUACUCAAAGAGGCAUAAGCGGACACUGACAUUUGCUGGCAGGGGAUGAGGAGCUUGGAAAAGAUCCUCCUCCCGUUUUGCCAUCUUUGUUUCUUGCCACAAUAGGAUGUAACCAUUGGCGCUGCAGCAGCCACCCUGCGACCAUGAAUGGAGAGCCAAGAGAAUGGCAGAGGUGGAAUUAAGUGACAAGGCAAAGCUAAUGUAAGAUACAUAAAACACCAAAAACACCAAGCAUUCUGCCGUGAACCCAUUUGGUGCUCAAUAAAAUCAUUGCCCUUUUUUUGGUGUUUUGUUGGAGACAAAACGGAAACACCAAAUGGCUGGUGGAAGUGGUAGGAAAAAACGAGACCAAAAACCCAGUGGCUCUGAAGAGGGCUUCUCAUCCUCAGCACUGCUGACAUUUGCGCCAGAUAUUUCUUUGGUUUGGAGGCUGUCCUGUGCACUGUCGGAUGUUUACCAGCAUCGUCAGUCUCUACUCUCCAGGAGGGAGUCACUGAAGGUUGGAGGACUGAUAUGCACCAAUACCUUUCCCACAAACAAGAGAUGCCUGAGAAAGACCUGGUCAUGCAGGAGGUGGUGAGUGGCUACUGGAAGAAAUAUGGUGGCUGGGGGAGGGGCAAGGGAGAAGCCUGCCUGCGGUUGAGCAGGCUAGCUGGAGAGCCAAGGUCGGUGCCCACUAGUGACUCUCCCGAGGGGUGUUGCCUUGGUGGGCUUCCCCGCUCUGGCCUUUUGUCACCUUGUUUGCUGAAUCCAGGUAACAUGUUUAACCAAAUUGGAAAGCAAUUCCGGGGAGUUGGAGUCAGAUCUGUCCCUGCCCUUGCUGUUGCUAAUGAGCUGUGUGACCUUAGUUGAGCCAUUUGAUCUCUCUGCAACUGUUUCUUGGGCUGUGAAACAUGGGGGUUGGAGUCUCUGAUUUCUAAGAUCCUUUUCAGCUGUAAGUUCUAAGGCCUGUGAAUACCACAGUGUGAUUAAGCCAACUGGGUGGUGGUGAGGGCCUUGUAAGUUUCAGUCUUACUGCAAGCCAGCGAUAGAAUUCUCCACAUGUCUUUGUUAAGAACUCUUGGCCCGGCACAGUGGCUCAUGCCUGUAAUCCCAGCAUUUUGGGAGGCCGAGGCAGGUGGAUCACCUGAGGUCAGGAGUUUGAGACCAGCCUGGCCAAGAUGGUGAAACCCCGUCUCUACUAAAAAUACAAAAAUUAGCUGGGCGUGGUGGCACAUGCCUGUAAUCCCAGCUACUCGGGAGGCUGAGGCAGGAGAAUCAUUUGAACCCAGGAGACGGAGGUUGCAGUGAGCCGGGAUUGCGCCACUACACUCUAACCUGGGCGACAAGAGCAAGACUUUGUCUAAAAAAAAAAAAAGAACUCUUGUUGCUGAGAAAUACUUCCGGAGUUCCUACUGUGUGCGAAGCAACGUGCUCUCUGCUGUGCAUGUGGGGAGGUCUUUCCCCCUUUCCUCUGAGGGCUCAUAAUCUAAUAACAGAUCAAAAUAAUUCCAAUAAAAGGCCAUAAAUGCAAAA